UUGCUUGCCAUAUGUACUGCACAUUGCAUGCGUUCUCAGAACGUCAGUUAGUAUCUGCGAUGAUUUUGCUUUUCGAUGAGUGGUUUUAAGCUUCAUAUCGCAAGAUGAUACGUUUGACACAUUUUCACAAUGACACUUUAUCCGCGGCGGAGAUAUCAGGAAGUUUGCGACCUGGAAGUAAAACACAGACCGGAAAAGGAAACGAGUAACAGUUUUGUUUGGCGUGUUGUGUAAACAGUUUUGUUUGGCGUUUUGUUGAUUUGUACACGUUCAUUUUCCGUGCUUUUACACAUGAUCUGAAACUGUGAUUAUUCCUUUUUGAUGGAUUACGAGGGCGGAUGUCCAAAAACAAGGAGUUACUACCACGUCGUCGGCUGCCGUCCGUCAACCUGGACAACAAAAGGACCGGAGAGGUUUCGGAUGAGCACGCGGCCGCCAGAAGCGGCGUCGGGUCCGCUUCAGGAAAAAUGCGAACGCACUCACCUGACAAGCACACAAGGAAAAAUACAAUUCUUUCUCGUCGGCAAAUGCAAAUGAAGUCUUCAGCCGAUAUGAAACUCACCUGUGAGGAAGACGAGAGGACACGUUUGCCUGCGGAAGAAAAUUUGAAGUCAUGAGGAUUGUGGGCUCAACAACUUUUCAUGAGGUGAACACACGUUUCCUUCUCCAAUAGGCUCUUUGAUAGCAGUCGAUGCCUGGAUCAGAUCAUUGAGUCGUGUGGAACUAAAAACAAAGACCACGGUUGAAUCAAGGCAACCUUUCUGGAAGCGGUAAUUGAACUGGAUGCGGACGUCCGCCUGAAAAGAGAACAUUCAGUGAGGAGGAUUUGACGGUCCGCUCCAUGACAGCAAGACGCCCUGCACACAGAAGAAGCAGCGUGCUCAAACCUAGUGGACGAGGCCUCCCACGUUGAUCUUGAUGAAAUCUAACAAGUCCGCUCUCGUGACUGCACACAAGGGGAAGAUUAUUAUUAUUUUUUUCUAGAAAUGGCCAUUGCAAAUCAUUCCAGGCGUCCUUACCUUGGACAUUGUAGCUCCUCGACAUAUGCUGAAACAAAUUAAAAGACAAAAUGAGAUUUGCACGUGUUAGUGUUUGCUUGGCUCACCUGUGAUAAGAGGCGGACAUUUUGACAGUGGCCUGCAACAGAAAAGGUAAAACAAUUGGUAAGCUAAUUCGAUCGAUUAAGGUCAAUUUUCCCAUUCGCUUUAAGACGUGAACCUGCGGAAAAAAAUAAGACAAUCCUGAGUUUCCCUCCGUAGUUUACCUCUUGUUAAACGGCGCUCUUUUCCACAGUAGUCAAAAUGUUGGCGUCAUUUCACGCACAGAUUCGAUGCAUUUCAGUUUACCUCAUUUAGUUAAACGCUUGCAUUUGUUUGUGGUCGUCGAAUGAAUGUCUUUUUAGCACGCGCUCCCUCGACGUCGACGGCCGCCGUCCUGCAAAGAAACAUUUUUAAGAAAACGCAGGCAAGCUUUUAGCACGCUCUAAACAUGAAUUAGUGUGAAAUAAAAGUGAAAAAAGUUGCAGUCAGGAGGUUAAAGAAUUAUUUUGAUGACUUUGUGGUAAAGUGCGGAGCGCAGCAAUCAGGUGGCGACGGGAGCUGGCAGCAGCUUUGAAAAGAACGAUUGCUCAAUUUCUUGCUGUUUAAAUAAGUUUCCGGUAAUUACGUCAUCGUUUAUGAGGGGGAAAAAAGGUAAAAGGUGAAUUCAGCAAUGACGACAUCGAGUGGAAAAGAGGUGAGGAAAUUAAAGAGAUCAUGUAAGUUUCGAACUUAGCUCUUCCGCUUCAGAGGUAUUGUCACGAACCGCUGAUCUACUGGUCUAGAUGACGUCAGCAGCCCCUUUUUAAGUAUUAGUACCACUCAUUAGUUAAGCCACAUCACCAGGGGACUUAGAAAAGAAUGAAUAUGACUUCAGAUAUAAGAUUGGCAACUAAGUGAUGGCCUAAUGGUUAAAUUUUUCGUUUUAAUCGUCUAUGUAUCCGGGUACGAAUCCUAACAGCUCUGACUGGCGACUAUUUUCUGUACCUACACUUAUCUUGACCGAUGCAAGACUAUAUAGGAAUCGAACACGGGUCGCCUCAGUGGUAGUCAAUGUUUUUAACCAUUAGGCCAUCAGAGAUGGAGCCUCGUGACAAAAUUAUUUCAGAUUCAUGGAAUAAACUACCCCUAUGGCACAUACACUAGAUCCGAUGUUACAAUUCAUGAAUUGACGAUAGAUCACCUUUUGCCUCAACUCCUUCGGCCAUGUUACACUCAACCAGUGCAUACAACCGAGUCUCUCGCUCCUCCCUUAACUCAUGAAACUCCACUUUAGUGAAGGACCUCAUCCCUGACAUGGAUAGGGCAUGACACCCUAUUCCCAUUGAGGACGAUACGCUCAUAUUGGAGGUGUUCAUUCUCAGCCCAAGCGCUUCAUAACUGUAUACAUAUGGAGUGUCUCAAUAAAUUGUCUCUUCCCCAUUAGUAUGUGUGUUGUGUUUGUGAUGUGGACUCUUCACUUGUUGGCAGUAUAUGUAGCGCUCAAUCCUUAAACAGACACGCCAUUGUAAUUUAUCCUCAUGUGUCUGUGGUGAACUCAGACGCACGUCCAAGGUAUAAAUAUUUUUCUUCCCCUUUUGGGCGGAUGCGAUUUAUUUCUCCUGACAACACGGUGUCGGGCGCCAAAAGUCCGAAAACCAGAAAAGCCGCGUGUGCUUGUUGUGAACCCCAUUGUCGACGGUCUGGAAUAAUAGGUGUCGAGCUGAGCUGAUGUCGCAAUGAUGCGGUUUGUUUGGAUUGCGAACGCCAUCGUCUCAGUGGUCGAUGAGGAAAAGUUACGGAUUAGCCGCGGGAAGUCCAUGUUUUCCAUGUCUCCCUCCUCUAACAAACGUGAAUCAACUAAUCAGGAUCGUUAUCAGGCUGCUGCAGAGCUUGCUGAUGAGCCGAUCAUUUGAUUCAGGCGUGUCAAAGGAGGGAGACAUGGAAAACAAGCUGGAUUUCACUACCAUUGAUGACGGCAGAUCGACGUACGGGCUCACCGUCGAUGGCAAUGAAACAUCAAAAGUGGGAUUUCCAUCAAAAAGCGUUGCCUCAAAGACCGAACAUUUGGCAAUCCCUCAACAGCAGAAACGAACAACCUGAAGGCAUUGGACGUCUAUCGCCCUCAAACGUCACGAUUUGGAGUUCUGUCAAGAAGAACAGCCUCAAAGAUCAAACAUUUUGCAAUGCCUCCAAAGCAAAAGAACAAUGUUAAGGCAUUGGAAGUCUAUGGCAGAGAACAUGUGAAAAUAAUGGAAAUGUUUUGUGUCAGGUUGUGAAAGAAUGAAAUUGUUUUGUGUCAGGUGUUAUUAGGAUAAAGACCAGACGCUGAUGAAAUCUCAUCACGCAGCGUGGCAAUGUCUCAUGAAAGCCAGGCAUUGCCUUUGUAAUGUCAUGUUGGCCAUGUGAUUUCAACAACCAAGGUUUUUCCAAACAAACCUGUGCAUUGAACCUUCUCAUUUGUUCUCUCUCCAUAACCCUCCGUUCCCCAAAACUGGAGUCAGCUGUCGUCAAACCGGUGCUCUAAUUGCAUACCGACAGUUGACUGCAUGGGACUUUCAGCAACUUGUGUUAUCCAAAGAGGCAUUCUUUCCUCUGUUUCUCGACCUUGAAAAUCCAUACAACGGUCAGAAUGUGCAAAAAACAUAAACACACAGUAUGUUCUCAAACCUUCAGAUAGUCGGCCAUCUUGGAUGUAUCCCACAAUGCACUGUAGGUAUAAAUAGACCAAUCUGAGUCUGGAACUUUCAGAUUUAAAUGACUUAUAUAUGAGCCCAAUUUAGUGGCUCUAUUAAUCAAUCUGCUGAGAAUAUACAUCGAUGGGGGACAGUCAAUCCAUUUGAAGUGGGAGUGUGGCAGCAAAUAAACCCUCCCACUUUAAAUUGUUGUUAAAACGUCUAUGUCUGCCGAUGGCAGAUCUAGCCAGAUAUAACAUUUUAGUCGCAUAAAUGAUGUGUUAAGAUAAAAUCAAUACAGAUUGACUCAACAUUUAUUGAAAGAUUUUAAAUUCUUCUGCAAUAAGAUUUUUUUGUUUCAUUGUUGCCCUCCUGUGGGAUAUUUGCGCAAUUGCAUCCAAUUAGCUAUACUGGUAGGCGGAAUGACUUCUUUGCCUUCAAAAACUUUGGCUGUAGUCAAUUUUCCGCCCUUUAUAGCAACUGGUGAAUAUUUCACAUUAUCGUUUGGUUGUAUUACAAAAUGAAAACAAAAAUAAGAGCAACUAUAUUUUAACAGGGUGUCAUAGCCAUAUGGUUAUGAAAUAGACAACUUUAGCCUAUUCUGACAAUUAAUGAAUAAAAUGCUUCAAACAUUUUCUUUGGCUGUGCCUUACUAGUGGAAAAACAUC